rnacentral:rRNA from 1 species
UACGGAGGGAGCUAGCGUUAUUCGGAAUUACUGGGCGUAAAGCGCACGUAGGCGGAUAUUUAAGUCAGGGGUGAAAUCCCAGAGCUCAACUCUGGAACUGCCUUUGAUACUGGGUAUCUUGAGUAUGGAAGAGGUAAGUGGAAUUCCGAGUGUAGAGGUGAAAUUCGUAGAUAUUCGGAGGAACACCAGUGGCGAAGGCGGCUUACUGGUCCAUUACUGACGCUGAGGCGCGAAAGCGUGGGGAGCGAACAGG